rnacentral:rRNA from 1 species
GGGUCAGUAGGUUGGUCGUGCCACCGGUACGUACUGGUCUCACUGAUUCCUCCUUCCUGAAGAACCGUAACGCCAUUAAUUUAGUGUCGCGGGGAAACAGGACUGUUACUUUGAAAAAAUUAGAGUGUUUAAAGCAAGCUAACGCUUGAAUACAUUAGCAUGGAAUAAUGAAAUAGGACGAUCGAUCCUAUUUUGUUGGUUUCUAGGAUUGACGUA